rnacentral:rRNA from 1 species
CCUACGGGAGGCAGCAGUGAGGAAUAUUGGUCAAUGGACGGAAGUCUGAACCAGCCAUGCCGCGUGCAGGAUGACGGCUCUAUGAGUUGUAAACUGCUUUUGUAUUGGGGUAAACAGCCCUACGUGUAGGUGCUUGCAAGUAUAAUACGAAUAAGGAUCGGCUAACUCCGUGUCAGCAGCCGCGGUAAUACGGAGGAUCCAAGCGUUAUCCGGAUUUAUUGGGGUUAAAGGGUGGGGAGGCGGUUUGAUAAGUUAGGGGUGAAAUACCGGUGCUCAACACCGGAACUGCCGCUAAUACUGUUGAUCUAGAGAGUAGUUGCGGUAGGCGGAAUGUAUGGUGUAGCGGUGAAAUGCUUAGAGAUCAUACAGAACACCGAUUGCGAAGGCAGCUUACCAACCUAUAUCUGACGUUGAGGCACGAAAGCGUGGGUAGCAAACAGGAUUAGAUACCCGAGUAGUC